GGCCAUAUAGCUCAGUCGGUAGAGCAGAGGACUGAAAAUCCUCGUGUCGGCAGUUCGAUUCUGCCUCUGGCCCCCA
rnacentral:tRNA from 1 species